rnacentral:rRNA from 1 species
AGGGUUUGAUCAUGGCUCAGGAUGAACGCUGGCGGCGUGCUUAACACAUGCAAGUCGAACGAACCUUCGGGUUAGUGGCGGACGGGUGAGUAACGCGUGAGAAUCUGCCCUCAGGAGGGGGAUAACGGUUGGAAACGACCGCUAAUACCCCAUAUGCCUACUGGUGAAAUGAAUUUCGCCUGAGGAUGAGCUCGCGUCUGAUUAGCUAGUUGGUGAGGUAAUGGCUCACCAAGGCUUCGAUCAGUAGCUGGUCUGAGAGGAUGAUCAGCCACAUUGGGACUGAGACACGGCCCAAACUCCUACGGGAGGCAGCAGUAGGGAAUAUUGCACAAUGGAGGAAACUCUGAUGCAGCGAUGCCGCGUGAGUGAAGAAGGCCUUAGGGUUGUAAAACUCUUUCACCCGUGAAGAUGAUGACGGUAGCGGGAGAAGAAGCUCCGGCUAACUCCGUGCCAGCAGCCGCGGUAAUACGGAGGGGGCUAGCGUUGCUCGGAAUUACUGGGCGUAAAGCGCGCGUAGGCGGCGCACCCAGUGAGGCGUGAAAUCCCCGGGCUUAACCCGGGAACUGCGUUUCAUACUGGUGUGCUAGAAUCCGAGAGAGGGUAGUGGAAUUCCCAGUGUAGAGGUGAAAUUCGUAGAUAUUGGGAAGAACACCAGUGGCGAAGGCGGCUACCUGGCUCGGUAUUGACGCUGAGGUGCGAAAGCGUGGGGAGCGAACAGGAUUAGAUACCCUGGUAGUCCACGCCGUAAACGAUGAGUGCUAGUUGUCGGGCAGCAUGCUGUUCGGUGACGCAGCUAACGCGUUAAGCACUCCGCCUGGGGAGUACGGUCGCAAGAUUAAAACUCAAAGGAAUUGACGGGGGCCCGCACAAGCGGUGGAGUAUGUGGUUUAAUUCGAUGCAACGCGAAGAACCUUACCAGGGUUUGACAUCCUGCGAACCUCUUAGAAAUUUGAGGGUGCCUUCGGGAAUGCAGUGACAGGUGGUGCAUGGCUGUCGUCAGCUCGUGUCGUGAGAUGUUGGGUUAAGUCCCGCAACGAGCGCAACCCACGUUUUUAGUUGCCAGCAUUUAGUUGGGCACUCUAGAAAGACCGCCGGUGAUAAACCGGAGGAAGGUGUGGAUGACGUCAAGUCAUCAUGCCCCUUACACCCUGGGCUACACACGUACUACAAUGCUACGGACAAAGGGCAGCAAACUCGCGAGAGCUAGCAAAUCCCAUAAACCGUGGCUCAGUUCAGAUCGUAGGCUGCAACUCGCCUACGUGAAGUAGGAAUCGCUAGUAAUCGCAGGUCAGCAUACUGCGGUGAAUACGUUCCCGGGCCUUGUACACACCGCCCGUCACACCAUGGAAGUUGGCCAUGCCCGAAGUCGUUACUCCAACCCUUGUGGAGGAGGACGCCGAAGGUGGGGCUAAU